rnacentral:rRNA from 1 species
GAUGAACGCUGGCGGCGUGCCUAAUACAUGCAAGUCGAGCGAACGGACGAGAAGCUUGCUUCUCUGAUGUUAGCGGCGGACGGGUGAGUAACACGUGGAUAACCUACCUAUAAGACUGGGAUAACUUCGGGAAACCGGAGCUAAUACCGGAUAAUAUUUUGAACCGCAUGGUUCAAAAGUGAAAGACGGUCUUGCUGUCACUUAUAGAUGGAUCCGCGCUGCAUUAGCUAGUUGGUAAGGUAACGGCUUACCAAGGCAACGAUGCAUAGCCGACCUGAGAGGGUGAUCGGCCACACUGGAACUGAGACACGGUACAGACUCCGACGGGAGGCAGCAGUAGGGAAUCUUCCGCAAUGGGCGAAAGCCUGACGGAGCAACGCCGCGUGAGUGAUGAAGGUCUUCGGAUCGUAAAACUCUGUUAUUAGGGAAGAACAUAUGUGUAAGUAACUGUGCACAUCUUGACGGUACCUAAUCAGAAAGCCACGGCUAACUACGUG